rnacentral:rRNA from 1 species
GCUAUUGCUAUCGGUGUCCGAUUUAGCCAUGCGAGUUGUACGUUUACGUAGCGAACUGCUCAGUAACACGUGGUCAAGCUACCCUACGGACCGGGAUAACCUCGGGAAACUGAGGCUAAUCCCAGAUAGCACAUCCAGCCUGGAAUGGCGGAUGUGUGAAAUGGUCCGCCGCCGUAAGAUGUGACUGCGGCCGAUUAGGUAGACGGUGGGGUAACGGCCCACCGUGCCGAUAAUUGGUACGGGUCAUGAGAGUGAGAGCCCGGAGACGGACUCUGAGACACGAGUCCGGGCCCUACGGGGCGCAGCAGGCGCGAAACCUUUACACUGCACGCCAGUGCGAUAGGGGGACACCGAGUGCGAGGGCAUAGAGCCCUCGCUUUUCUGGACCGUAAGGAGGUCCAGGAACAAGGGCUGGGCAAGACCGGUGCCAGCCGCCGCGGUAACACCGGCAGCCCGAGUGAUGGCCGAUAUUAUUGGGCCUAAAGCGUCCGUAGCUGGCCGCACAAGUUCGUCGGGAAAUCCACGCGCUUAACGCGUGGGCGUCCGGCGAAAACUGUGCGGCUUGGGACCGGAAGACCUGGGGGGUACGUCUGGGGUAGGAGUGAAAUCCUGUAAUCCUGGACGGACCACCGAUGGCGAAAGCACCUCAGGAGGACGGAUCCGACAGUGAGGGACGAAGGCUAGGGUCUCGAACCGGAUUAAAUACCCGGGUAGUCCUAGCCGUAAACGAUGCUCGCUAGG